rnacentral:rRNA from 1 species
GACGAACGCUGGCGGCGUGCCUAAUACAUGCAAGUUGAGCGCUGAAGGUUGGUCCUUGUACCAACUGGAUGAGCAGCGAACGGGUGAGUAACGCGUGGGGAAUCUGCCUUUGAGCGGGGGACAACAUUUGGAAACGAAUGCUAAUACCGCAUAAAAACUUUAAACACAAGUUUUAAGUUUGAAAGAUGCAAUUACAUCACUCAAAGAUGAUCCCGCGUUGUAUUAGCUAGUUGGUGAGGUAAAGGCUCACCAAGGCGAUGAUACAUAGCCGACCUGAGAGGGUGAGCGGCCACAUUAGGACUGAGACACGGCCCAAACUCCUACGGGAGGCAGCAGUAGGGAAUCGUCGGCAAUGGACGAAAGUCUGACCGAGCAACGCCGCGUGAGGGAAGAAGGUUUUCGGAUCGUAAAACUCGGUUGGUAGAGAAGAACGUUGGUGAGAGUGGAAAGCUCAUCAAGUGACGGUAACUACCCAGAAAGGGACGGCUAACUACGUG